rnacentral:rRNA from 1 species
ACACGAACUGUGCAAACGUUAUUCGGAAUCACUGGGCUUAAAGAGUUCGUAGGCGGCACGUUAAGUCGGGUGUGAAACCCCUCGGCUCAACCGAGGAAUUGCGCCCGAAACUGGCGUGCUUGAGUGAGAUAGAGGUGAGCGGAACCGAUGGUGGAGCGGUGAAAUGCGUUGAUAUCAUCAGGAACACCGGUGGCGAAAGCGGCUCACUGGGUCUUUGCUGACGCUGAGGAACGAAAGCUAGGGGAGC